CCAGAAGCCUCUGUGAGUGUUUAAAGUGCUCGAUCACCAAGGCCACCCAAACCCAGACAUGGCACAGCACAGGGAGUCCCGGUGAAGCUGCAGGAAGCACCAGGAGAACACAGAAGAUGCACAAGCUUUACUCAGAGGAUGUAACUGAAGACUGAAGAGCAGGGAAAGUGUAAAAUGAAGAACCACAAAAAGCAGGUGUCAUGAAGGAUAUGAUUCCUCUGAAACAACUGCCUGCCUUGCAGCUGAUCUCUCCCUGCUGCUGCAACUCCAAGGUGCAUAUCAACUUGGUGUCCAGAAUUUUAGAAGUUGACCAGGAAGCACCAAGCUGACAGACAGUGGCUGGGGCUCAAAGCCCAUAAGAAGGUCUAAAUCUAUUCUGGACAAGUAUCACUAUGUGCUUGCCCCAUUCUUAUUCUUCUCUAUUUAAACAUCCAUUGUGUGUUGUUAGGCACGUGAAAUGCCAGGAGAGAAACAAAAUUAAAAAUCUAAUUCAAUACUUGCUGACAUAUUUUGCACAUCACAAUAAGAACACUGCAUAACUUUAAUGUAGCUCAGUUGUUCCAGCAUUUAAACAUCAUCCUUCCCAUGUCUGGGUCCCAGAGGCGGGCACAGCACUGCGGGUGGGGUCUCACCAGGGCAGAGCAGUGGGGCAGAAUCCUCUCCCUCCACCUGCCUUGGAUGCCACCCAGGACAUGUUUGGUUUCUGGGCUAUCAGAGCACACUGCUGGGUCAUGUCCAACUUCUUGUCCACCAACACCCCAAGCCCUCAUCAGGGCUGCUCCAAUCCAUUCCCUGCCCAGUCUGUGUUUGUGCUUGGGAUUGCACCAACACAGCUGCAGGACCUGGAACUUGGCCUUGCUGAGCUCCCCAAGUUUCACUCAGGCCCAGCUCUGGCUCACCUAAACAAAACACAUUGUAUUUAACCAGUCUGAUGCUGUAUUUGUGAAAAGAAACUUGAUUUUGAAACUAUGUAAGUUUAACUGAUGAUGGCAAAUAAAAGCACAUGUAUUUUUCUGUUUUACACACACCAUCUUCACAAAUGCUCCUGAAAAAAAAGUUAAAUAAAGUUCUUUAUAAUAA